AACUGCAUUACUGGGCAGAAUCUGCAUUGGCAGGCAGCCAUUUAUAAGGCAUGCACAAUCAUGUGCAAUUCUGUAGCUGGCCGACUGCCAAUGGGGAUUUGCCCGGCAAUUCUUCU
rnacentral:pre_miRNA from 1 species